GCAGGGGGCUGCGCCCAGCCAGGACACGGUGUGCAACACCAGGGUGCGAGGCGUGAUGUGUGCUGGGGGUGCAAGGCACGAUGUACGCCGGGUGCUUUGCACACCCAGAGCGUGGUGCACGUUGCACGCCAGCCGUGUGGUGUUUCGCAGGAGGCCUCUCGUGCUCAGGAGCCAUCGGCAGAAGAGGUGCAGGCGCUGCGCGCGGAGGUGGAGCUGCUCCACCAGACGCUGCAGGACGUCACCCAGGUGCCCCCAGCCCUCCCCUGCACCCCCACUGCUGCCACCCUCUCCGUGCCUCAGUUUCCCCUCCCGUGGUGGUGCCACAGCAGAGCGCUGUCUCCAUCCCUCGCAGGCAGUGCUGGCGGAUGACCCUGGGUCCCCGACGGAGCCUCCGAGGCUCCCCUGCCGCAGCCUCUCGCCCGCUGCAGCUGCGGCCACGCUGGGGGCUGUGCACGGAGCCCUGCGGCGCCGGCACUUCCAGCUGCAGGAGGCCCGGGAGGUGUCGGGGAGCCUGCGGCGGGAGCUGGGGGACAGCGAGAGCCGGCGGGCGGCCCUGGAGCAGCGGCUGGAGCAGCUCAGCGCCGAGGCUGGGGGCUGCCGGCGGGCGCAGGAUGAGGCCGUGCGCGAAGCCGCCCGCCUGCGCGCCGACAUCGAGCUCCUGCGCAGCGAGCGGAGCCGCGUGGAGCAGGCGCUGGCGGCGGAGCAGGCGCGGGCGGGGGUCCUGCAGCGCAGCGAGGCCGAGCUGCAGCGCCGCGGCCGGGGGCUGGAGGAGCAGCGGGACGAGGCCGCCCGUGCCGCCGAGGCUGCGCGCCAGCAGCUGGAGCACAGGUGGGGACCCCCCGGUGCCGUGACCCCCCCAUGGGGCUGCAGAAUAGUGCCUCACCCCUCCCGUGGGUGCUGCCCCCACCCCCGGCUGUCUCCAUCCCUCGCAGGCAGUGCUGGCGGAUGA
rnacentral:lncRNA from 1 species